rnacentral:rRNA from 1 species
GACGAACGCUGGCGGCGUGCUUAACACAUGCAAGUCGAAUGGAAAGGCCCUGCUUUUGUGGGGUGCUCGAGUGGCGAACGGGUGAGUAACACGUGAGUAACCUGCCCUUGACUUUGGGAUAACUUCAGGAAACUGGGGCUAAUACCGGAUAGGAGCUCCUGCUGCAUGGUGGGGGUUGGAAAGUUUCGGCGGUUGGGGAUGGACUCGCGGCUUAUCAGCUUGUUCGUGGGGUAGUGGCUUACCAAGGCUUUGACGGGUAGCCGGCCUGAGAGGGUGACCGGCCACAUUGGGACUGAGAUACGGCCCAGACUCCUACGGGAGGCAGCAGUGGGGAAUAUUGCACAAUGGGCGGAAGCCUGAUGCAGCAACGCCGCGUGCGGGAUGACGGCCUUCGGGUUGUAAACCGCUUUCGCCUGUGACGAAGCGUGAGUGACGGUAAUGGGCAAAGAAGCACCGGCUAACUACGUG